AAUAGUUUUAAUCUUUUUGGUAUUAUUUUUGAAUAUACUGUGACCAAGAGGAAAAUUUUUCAGACUAGAAUUACAUGUUUUUAACUGUGUGAUUGCAGUUUCAUCUCUGUGUUAUCUUUCAUACUUUCUAUACGACAUAAAAUAUAUGGGUGCAAAUAAAAAACGCUAGGCAUAAUUGUUCAUUUGAAAAUAUUUACUUCAUGGAAAUCUUGUGUUUGCCUAUGGUUCAUACACACAUUUGUGCAUCUAUUAGUCUAUUAUCAAAUUGCUGUAAAGAAAUACCUGAGACUGGGUAAUUUAUGAAGAAAAGAGGUUUAAUUGGCUCAUCGUUCUACAGGCUGCACAGAAAACACGAUGCUGGCAUCAGCUUAGCUUCUGGGGAUGCCUCAAGACACAAUCAUGGUGGAAGGCGAAGGGGCAACAGUCACAUCACAUGGCCAGAGCAGGAGCAAGAGAGAGAGAGGGGAAGUGCCACACACUUUUAAAUAACAAGUCUCUCGAGAACUCACUAUUGAGAGGAGGGCACCCAAGAGGAUGGUGCUAAACCAUUCAUGAGAAACCACCUCCAUGAGCCAAUCACCUCCCACCAGGCCACACCUCCAACAUCAGGGAUUACAUUUUGACAUAAGAUGUGGGCAGGCACACACAUGCAAACUAUAUCAGUGUGUUUUGUUUCAAAUAAGCUUUAAAAGCUGUGUACCAAUUAUUAACAUUUUCAGUGUCAGAAGCGAUACUCUAUUAGGAAAAAUAUAAACACUUUUAUUUAAAUAAGUGGUUCACAAUAUAAUCCGUGAACUCAAAAUUAAAGUUUGCUUUAAGUUUUAAGAAAGCUUAAAGUUUGCAAGUUCUUUUAAGUAAUUACUUUGCUAACCUUUUUAGAACGAUAUGAGUAAAAUAAAGGAAGGACUUCCAUUGCUAAAAUGGCAUUUUAACCAAAAUCUGCAUGGAUUUUUUUUUUUAAAAUAUAUACAUUAAGUAGAAAGAGAAAGAAUUCUUGUUAAUAUUGCAAACAGAAACUGGACAGAAUGAUAUACUUAAAUUUGAGGCACUCUCAAAGAUUAGAAAACAGUGGCAUGCAGAAACAAGUAAUACCUGGGAGUAAUGAUUAACUUUUUGUUCUGCUUCCUAAAAAAUAUUAUUGAAAUAGAAUAAUUACAGCUAGGUGAUACAUACAAUAUGUCUACAUUGUAAGUAUAUAUGUGUGUGCAUAUGUAUGUAUAUAGUAGGUUGAUUAACUUAAGGAUCAAAUUCAUAGGAGAAAAUCUACCCCAUAGCAUAAAAGAGAUAAAAAUAAGAAUUAGGCAACACUAUAAUAUUUUAAGACACCCCUUUUUCAGCAACUUGUAAUUUUUUGGAUUUCAAGGGUUUUAAGGAGUAAAGUUUGGAAUUUUCGGGACAUAGAAAAAUAUUGAAUUAUUUUAAAUUCUAGAUGGAAAGAAUCUAUACUUUUAAAUAUGCCAAUGAGACUCUAAAUGUGCUGCUCAUAAACACACUUAAAUUCAGAAAGCACGUUUGAAUUCAAAUGUCUGUUUUCUGUAGUAAAUAAGCGCUAGAUCUGUAGUAAUAUCGGAAUUAGAAAUAAAAAUUUAAUUCAAUUUUAGUGUAAAAAUACUUAAAUUCAGAAAGCACGUUUGAAUUCAAAUGUCUGUUUUCUGUAGUAAAUAAGCGCUAGAUCUGCAGUAAUAUCGAAAUUAGAAAUAAAAAUUAAAUUCAAUUUUAGUGUAAAAAUACACAAUAACAAGUAACGUGUCAUCUUUCACAAUAACUUCAAUAUCUAAGUUUUUAUUUUUUUACAAAUAAUUUUAUUUCUUUGUAUAUAAACUUUUAAAAAAACGUACUAUUGUGUCCGGAAUUGGUGGGUACUUGAUCUCACUGACUUCAAGAAUGAAGCCGCGGACCCUCGCAGUAAGUGUUACAAUUCUUAAAGGCGGCGUGUCUGGAGUUUGUUCCUUCUGAUGUUUGGAUGUGUUCGGAGUUUCUUCCUUCUGGUUGGUUCGUGGUCUCGCUGGCUCAGGAGUGAAGCUGCGGACCUUGGCGGUGAGUGUUACAGCUUUUAAGGUGGCCCGUCUGGAGUUGUUCGUUCCUCCCGGUGGGUUCGUUGUCUCACUGGCUCAGGAGUGAAGCUGCGGACCUUCGCAGUGAGUGUUACAGCUUUUAAGGUGGCCCGUCUGGAGUUGUUGGUUCCUCCCAGUGGGUUUGUGGUCUCACUGUCUCAGGAGUGAAGCUGCAGACCUUCGCGGUGAGAAUUAUAGCUCUUAAGGCGGCCUGUCUGGAGUUGUUCGUUCCUCCCUGUAGGUUCGUGGUCUCCAUGACUUCAGGAGUGAAAUUGUAGACUUUCGUGAUGAGACCUUCACUGCCUUACAGCUCAGAAAGGCAGUGUGAACCCAAAGAGCAAGCAGCAGAAAGAUUUAUUGCAAAGACUGAAAGAACAAAGCCUCUACAUGGCAGAAGGGGACCCCAGCUGGUUGGCACUGCUGGCUCUGGCCGCCUGCUUUUAUUCUGUUAUCUGGCCCCACCCACAUCCUGCUGAUUGGUCCAUUUUACAGAGCCAAUUGGUCUAUUUUACAGAGAAAUGAUUGGUCCGUUUUGACAGGGUGCUGAUUGGUGCGUUUACAAUCCCUGAGCUAGACACAAAAGUUCUCCAUGUCCCCACUAGAUUAGCUAGAUACAGAGUGCUGAUUAGUGUAUUUACAAACCCUGAGCUAGACACAGAGUGCUGAUUGGUGCAUUUACAAACCUUGAGCUAGAUACAGAGUGCGGAUUGGUGUAUUCACAACCCCUUAGCUAGACAUAAAGAUUCCCCAAGUCCCCACUAGAUUAGCUAGAUACAGAGUGCGGAUUGGGGCAUCCACAAACCCUGAGCUAGACACAGGGUGCUGACUGGUGUGUUUACAAACCUUGAGCUAGAUGCAGAGUGCUGAUUGGUGUAUUUACAAUCCCUUAGCUAGACAUAAACGUUCUCCAAGUCCCCAUUAGACUCAGGAGCCCAGAUAGCUUCACCCAGUGGAUCCCGCACCUGGGGCGGCAGAUGGAGCUGCCGCCAGUCCUGCGCUGUGCCCCUGCACUCCUCAGCCCUUGGGCGGUCGAUGGGACCAGUCGCCCUGGAGCAGGGGGCGGCGAUCCUGGGGAGGCUCUGGCGCGCAGGCGCCCACGGCGGGGUGGGGGUAGGGGAGAAGAGGCUCAGGCAUGGCGGGCUGCAGGUCCGGAGCCCUGCCCCGCGGGGAGGCACCUAAGGCCCCGCGAGAAAUCGAGCGCAGCGCCGGUAGGCUGGCACUGCUGGGGGACCCAGCGCACCCUCCUCAGCUGCUGGCCCGGUUGCUAAACCCUGCUGGUCCGGGUGCUAAGCUCCUCAUUGCCCAGGGAGGCGGGGCCCGCCAAACCCACGCCAACCCGGAACUCUAGCUGGCCCGCAAGGGCUACGCGCAGCCCCGGUUCCUGCCCGUGCCUCUCCCUCCGCACUUCCCCUCAGGCUGAGGGAGCUGGCUCCUGCCUCGGCCAUCCCAGGAAGAGGCUCCCACAGUGCAGCGACGGGCUGAAGGGCUCCUCAGGCGCGGCCAGAGUGGGCGCCCAGGCCGAGGAGGCGCCAAGAGCGAGCGAGGGCUGCGACGACUGCCAGCAUGCUGUCACCUCUCACUAUGACUGUCUGGGAUCUGCUUUAUAAAUAAACAAGCUUCCUACAAUUAUCCUCAUCUCAUGGAAAAACUAGACAGAGGAAAAGAAAAGAGGCAAAUGGAGCUUCCUUUGCUAAGAGCUCAAAUAACUCUCCUCUACAUAGUCUUCUUCAAACAAAAACACAAAGCUAAUUUUCCAUUUACUCUUUGAGAGUUCCACAGAAAAACAAAAAAACCAAGUGACAUUAAUUGAUACUGGACACAAUCUGUGAUAUCAGUGAUUAAGUUGGAGUUAUGCAAGUGGAUCAUUUGCCACCAACCAGAAAAUAAGGAUUCCUUUCAAGUGGAUGUGGGAUAUGAAUAUUUUUUGGCACAAGACAGUAGUUCAAUUGGUAAAAAUUUCAUCAAUGGUGACUUUGGAGAAUGUCAUGUUGCAGGUGAAUGUCCUAACCAGGACAAUAUUCAUGCAUUUGAAAAAUCCAGCGUGAGAAACAUAGAAAGGCUAAGGUCAGAGAUCUGCUUGGGAAAACUUGAGGCAUUAAAAUAUUGGAAGAGGACAUCUGGGUAAAUUUCCCCAAGGAUCUACAACUUGAGAGCCUAAAGAAUUGACCCACCAUUCUCUAUGAAGAGCUAGACAUUUUCUCAUGCAAGAAGAUACUUCAGAGGCCACUUUCACAUAAGAUAAAUGGUAUGUUUAUCAGGAAUUACUCCCACUUUUUCUCUAGGCUUCUAGGCUAAAAAUCAUGGCUAAAUUCCAGCAUAACCCAGCUGAGGGAUAAAAACAUACUGGGACUGAUAAGUAAGAAAAGAGAUAAUCAUUUCAUUAAGUUCAAUAAUUAGCUAGUAUGUGCUUUCAGGAUUCAGAAUAGUAUCCAUGAGAUUGGAUGUUUGAGUAUGCCGUGGUUUGAAUGUAUCCUUCAAAAUUCAUAUGUUGGAAACUUAAGUCCCAGUGCAACAGUGUUGAGAGGUGAGAACUUUAAAAAGUAGUUAGAUCAUGAGGGCUGUGAACCCUGAAAGAGCCAAUCCUUUAAGAUGGAACCUGAGUGGCUAACUGGGCCUAAAUUCAAACGGGAGCUGAGUUCCAUUUGCUGACCAGACAUUACACAUGCACUCUUCAUUCUUGGAAAAACCACAUAUUGGUAUAACUGUGAGAUUCUCAUAUCUGCCUAUUUCUGUUUAUACUCCUGAGCCAAUGGUUACCAUCACUUUGAUCUAACCAAUAGCCUGUGACCCACAGUGAAACUUAACCUCAACCAGCUGAAACUAAGCAAGCUUGCAUCCCUCAUUUGCACAGCAUAGCAUAGUGGGAACCUCAGCAGGAACUUUUUCUAUAAAGGACAACCCCUGUCUUUGUUCUGGUAGAACACAUCUUUGUUUUGUAUUGAAGGCUGUGUAUCCCCCGUUCACAAACCGCUUGUGGAAAUAAAGCCUCUUUAAAUCUGAUACUUCUUUUUCAGUAGUCUUGUUAACAAGACUCUGUCCUCAUUAAUGCAUUAGUACCAUUAUUGCAGGAAUGAGUUUCUGAUAAAAAGAUGAAUUUUACUUCCUUCCCUCUGUUUUGCAUGUGCUCUCUUGCCCUUCUGCCUUCUCCAUGGGAUGACACAGGAAGAAGACCAUCACCAGAGAUGAAUGGACAUUUGAUAUUACCAAGAAUAUGCAUAAUGACUUGGAAGUUACCAUUUGAACAAUUGACAUUCUUGAGCAUCUUAGGUUGGAUUUCCUAGGAACAGAACCUGUGACAGGAAUUCAGGUGGAGCUGUUUUAGGCUGGGUGCUGUGGCCCAGGCCUGGAAUCCCAGCACUUCAGAAGGCCAAGGCAGGAGAAUCGCUUGAGCCCAGGAGUUCAAGAGCAGCCUGGGCAACAUGUUGAAACAUCAUCUCUAUACAAAUAUACGCACAAAAAUUAGCUGGACAUGGUGGUGUGCACCUGUAGUCCUAACUACUCAGGAAGCUGUGGUGGAAGAAUCACUUGAGCCCAGGAGGUCGAGCCUGCAAUAAGCUGUGAUUGCACCACUGCACUCCAGCGUGGAUGACAGAGCAAGACACCCUGUCUCAAAAAAAAGACUAUACAACAGAGCUCUGAAAAAGAUCACACUUUCAGGCUCAAGGAGCUCUCUUGUUCCUUCCACCAUCUGAGAACACAGUGAGAAGUCCCCAGGCUUCAACCUGAAAAAGGGCCCUCAUCAGAACCUGAUCAUCAGAACUUGGCACCCCAAUCUUUGUCUUCUGAUCUACAUUGUGACCUAAGUCAGAACGGGGCCAUAGCAGGCAUAAAAGCAACAAUUUAUCAAACUGCCUGAGGGAAUGAUGUAAAAAAUGCUCAUCAAGAAUAUCCAUCUGGACAGGACAAAAAAUGACGCUGAGAGGACUUUGGAGAGUUUCUACCCAGUUUUCCUAAAUUCCAGGAAGUUUUCUUAGUAGAAAUGAUGAUGACUGAAAGCUACUUCAUUUCUGGGAUACUUGAGACUUCUGGUCUGCAUAUGUGACUGUAGGAAGAAAUAAAUAAUUUAUGUUUUGGAAAAACCCUAAUUACCUAAAGAUGACUCUCAUGGAGUAAAAGGGAAAUGGGCAUUUGUCUUGUUUUCCCAAACUCUUUCAGUACUCAGUGAAUAAAAAUUAAGGUAACAACAUGAAUUCAGAAGGGCUUCUUAUUUGAGCUCUCUUACCUGUGCAGACUUAUAUUAUUGUGUGUGUGACAGGCAUUUUCCUUAUUUUAUUUUAUACAAUGUGUGUGAAUAAAUUUUUAUACAACUUCUUUUAUUAAAGGCAGAGAAUGCUUCAGCUUACCUUUGUAUUAUCUACAUUUUGGAAACAGAAUGAAUAUUCAAAUGUUGAAUUAGCUCGAAUAAAUGAAUAGUUCUUA